rnacentral:rRNA from 1 species
GAUGAACGCUGGCGGCGUGCCUAAUACAUGCAAGUCGAGCGAAUGGAUUAAGAGCUUGCUCUUAUGAAGUUAGCGGCGGACGGGUGAGUACACGUGGGUAACCUGCCCAUAAGACUGGGAUAACUCCGGGAAACCGGGGCUAAUACCGGAUAACAUUUUGAACCGCAUGGUUCGAAAUUGAAAGGCGGCUUCGGCUGUCACUUAUGGAUGGACCCGCGUCGCAUUGGCUAGUUGGUGAGGUAACGGCUCACCAAGGCAACGAUGCGUAGCCGGCCUGAGAGGGGGAUCGGCCACACUGGGACUGACACACGGCCCAGACUCCUACGGGAGGCAUCAGUAGGGAAUCUUCCGCAAUGGACGAAAGUCUGACGGAGCAACGCCGCGUGAGUGAUGAAGGCUUUCGGGUCGUAAAACUCUGUUGUUAGGGAAGAACAAGUGCUAGUUGAAUAAGCUGGCACCUUGACGGUACCUAACCAGAAAGCCACGGCUAACUACGUGCCAGCCGCCGCGGUAA